ACCACUGAAAAUUGGGCUGUUACAUGAACUUCUCCUCCCAAGAGGCCUCCCUGUUCUUCAACAGGUUAUUCUCCCUUUCCAACUGUAUGCAUUCAGUAUAUGUAUCUUUGAACUUAGCCUUUCAGGCUAGGCCACAGGAGUUGAGUAACUUGAUUUUGUUCUGAUAAAUUUGACUAAUUCGGCGUAGUUGGGCCAAAGUGUUAGAAAAUGUGCC
rnacentral:lncRNA from 1 species